rnacentral:rRNA from 1 species
AGUGAACGCUGGCGGUAGGCCUAACACAUGCAAGUCGAACGGCAGCACAGUAAGAGUUUGCCCCUACGGGUGGCGAGUGGCGGAUGGGUGAGGAAUACAUCGGAAUCUACUUUUUCGUGGGGGAUAACGUAGGGAAACUUACGCUAAUACCGCAUACGACCUACGGGUGAAAGCAGUGGAUCUUCGGACCUUGCGCGAUUGAAUUAGCCGAUGUCGGAUUAGCUAGUUGGCAGGGUAAAGGCCCACCAAGGCAACGAUCCGUAGCUGGUCUGAGAGGAUGAUCGGCCACACUGGAACUGAGACACGGUCCAGACUCCUACGGGAGGCAGCAGUAGGGAAUAUUGGGCAAUGGGCGCAAGCCUGAUGGAGCAAUGCCGCGUGAGUGAAGAAGGCCUUCGGGUUGUAAAGCCCUUUUGUUAGGAAAGAAAAGCAGCAGGAUAAUACCCCGCUGUUCUGACGGUACCCAAAGAGAAAGCACCGGCUAACUUCGUG